GAUGAACGCUGGCGGCGUGCCUAAUACAUGCAAGUCGAGCGAACAGACGAGGAGCUUGCUCCGCUGACGUUAGCGGCGGACGGGUGAGUAACACGUGGAUAACCUACCUAUAAGACGGGGAUAACUCGGGGAAAGCGGAGAUAAUACAGGCUAAUAUAUUGAACCGCAGGGUGCAAUAGUGAAAGACGGCUUUGCUGUCACUUAUAGAUGGAUCCGCGCCGCAUUAGCUAGUUGGUAAGGUAACGGCUUACCAAGGCAACGAUGCGUAGCCGAGCUGAGAGGGUGAUCGGCCACACUGGAACUGAGACACGGCCCAGACUCCUACGGGAGGCAGCAGUAGGGAAUCUUCCGCAAUGGGCGAAAGCCUGACGGAGCAACGCCGCGUGAGUGAUGAAGGUCUUCGGAUCGUAAAGCUCUGUUAUUAGGGAAGAACAAAUGUGUAAGUAACUAUGCACGUCUUGACGGUACCGGAUCAAAAAGCACCGGCUAACUACGUG
rnacentral:rRNA from 1 species